CAGCAGCCGGAGAGAACUUUCGAGCGGCUCCAGUUGCUGCAGUGCGAAGCCGAGCAAAAUGGAUGGGCCUGUUCAAGCUCAGAGGUAGAAAACGAAAAUAGGGAGACUUGUUUACCAGUUGAGUUUGGUCCUCAGGUGGAGCUCAAAGAUCCGCUUGGGAAAGGGACGAGCUCCGUUACAGUCCGCGGCAUCUGGCACGGUCUGGACGUGGCAGUCAAAUGCAUCCAGCCUCAUUCUUUCCAAGAUACGGUCAGUAGAAAAUGUCUUUAAAAUCAGGGGUCUCCUUACGAAAUUCUUGUUCUGCGGCAGGAAAGCUUUAGUAGAUUUUGUCAAGAAGUUGAGCUCCUCUCCAGAAAUCGUCACCCAUACGUCAUACGCUUGCUGGCCGCUUGCCUUCGCCCUCCCG
rnacentral:lncRNA from 1 species